rnacentral:rRNA from 1 species
AUACGGAGGGUGCGAGCGUUGUUCGGAAUUAUUGGGCGUAAAGAGCAUGUAGGCGGUCUGUUAAGUCUGGUGUGAAAGCCCGGGGCUCAACCCCGGAAGUGCAUUGGAUACUGGCAGACUUGAGUAUGGGAGAGGGAAGCGGAAUUCCGAGUGUAGGAGUGAAAUCCGUAGAUAUUCGGAGGAACACCAGUGGCGAAGGCGGCUUUCUGGACCAAUACUGACGCUGAGAUGCGAAAGCGUGGGGAGCAAACAGGAUUAGAAACCCUUGUAGUCC